rnacentral:rRNA from 1 species
CGAUGGCGACCGGCGCACGGGUGAGUAACACGUAUCCAACCUGCCGAUGACUCGGGGAUAGCCUUUCGAAAGAAAGAUUAAUACCCGAUGGCAUAGUUCUUCCGCAUGGUAGAACUAUUAAAGAAUUUCGGUCAUCGAUGGGGAUGCGUUCCAUUAGCUUGUUGGCGGGGUAACGGCCCACCAAGGCAUCGAUGGAUAGGGGUUCUGAGAGGAAGGUCCCCCACAUUGGAACUGAGACACGGUCCAAACUCCUACGGAAGGCAGCAG